GAUGAACGCUGGCGGCGUGCCUAAUACAUGCAAGUCGAGCGAACAGAUGAGGAGCUUGCUCCUCUGACGUUAGCGGCGGACGGGUGAGUAACACGUGGAUAACCUACCUAUAAAACUGGGAUAACUUCGGGAAACCGGAGCUAAUACCGGAUAAUAUAUUGAACCGCAUGGUUCAAUAGUGAAAGACGGUUUUGCUGUCACUUAUAGAUGGAUCCGCGCCGCAUUAGCUAGUUGGUAAGGUAACGGCUUACCAAGGCGACGAUGCGUAGCCGACCUGAGAGGGUGAUCGGCCACACUGGAACUGAGACACGGUCCAGACUCCUACGGGAGGCAGCAGUAGGGAAUCUUCCGCAAUGGGCGAAAGCCUGACGGAGCAACGCCGCGUGAGUGAUGAAGGUCUUCGGAUCGUAAAACUCUGUUAUUAGGGAAGAACAAAUGUGUAAGUAACUAUGCACGUCUUGACGGUACCUAAUCAGAAAGCCACGGCUAACUACGUG
rnacentral:rRNA from 1 species